CGCGGAGGGAGAUUGGCGGCCCCGGCUGGGGAAAUUGAGCCUGGCGCCGGCCCCGGACGCGGAAAGAGAGAGAAGGGGGGAUCCCAGACUUCGGCUUCCCGAGAUACCUCACAAGGCUCUAAGCAGUUCGUGUAAACACAAAGGUUGUGCGCAAAUCACACUUGAAAUACAUCAGAGACACCCCCACCCCCUCCCCCAGAACUCCCAACUGUCUGCGAGUCAGAAAAGGACCCGAUCAAACUCAGGACGACAGGCGCUUCACCUCUCCAGGUAUUUUGUAGAGGAGGGCGAAAGCAGGCAAGGAGCACGACUCCGCCAAAGUUCUGUGUUUUGUCUGCGGUGGUGCCCAUUGGUUUGGCCUUUUACAAACCAAGUGGCCGGCCUCAGCCUCGCGGUCGGGACUGCCACAUUCGCAAAGUGCGAUCUCUCAAAGCCGGAGCAGGCUGCAGCCUCUUUCCAGCGGCAACUCUGCUGACGUUCUGACUCGGCGGGGAGGUGAAGAGCAGAACGCGAAAGCAGUUGCCCUGUCACUGAGGAGCGUGGCGGGGUGGGGGCUCGGGGCACUGGAGAAAGACUUGUCAGAGUUCAAGGUCGGUGUGGCGCGGGACGGCUCCUGCUAGCGCGGGGCCGCGGCGUCACGGCCGCCGCCGCCAGCCUUCGCGGG
rnacentral:lncRNA from 1 species